AGAAAAACACUUGCCAUUGCUAAGGGGUCUUUUUUCUUCUCUCUUUUUCCUUUCCCUGUUUUCCUGAAAAUUUUCCAAGUCCAAAAUUUACUGCAAAGUUUUCUAGCUUCUAUACACUAAAUAUAUAAUAUGCUAUACAACAUAUAUACAACAAUAUACUAUUAUUUACUAAAAAGAUGCAAACUAUAACAUAAGCUAAUAUAUAGAAGAAGAAUUUCAAGAAAAGGAUCAUUUUUAAUAAGGUUUUCUAGUGUUGUUUGAAGUGUUGUUUCCAACCCCUCCUUUUGAUCUUUUGGUUACCCCUACAGAAGGUUGAGACACUUCGGGCAGCGUGUACGUAUCGUAUAACGGAUAAGCAUUAAAGGUACAGAUAGUCGGUUUGGUGACCCUUCAGCAUAGGACUUCUACUCAGCUGUCUUGGGAAGCUCCGUUGUUCCGGAGCCUAGACUUUUGGUACAAAUCUUAUGAUGUAUAUAUAUAUGUUUACCCAGGGGUACGGCGGGGACCUGUCCCGUCAUAUUUCGCUAUCGAUAUUCUUAGAGGUCUGUAGACAUAUAUGUGGGUUGUGUAUUAGCUUGUUCAGCUGUGUCUAUACGAUGUGCUAUGGAUAUGCUCUUCUAUAAUGGUAGCCUUGUCGGCUUGCGUAUGGUGACGAUAUGUAUUGGCAGCCUUAUCGGCUUGCGUAUCAUGUUAUGAUUGGAUUAGUUGUGACU